AGCGAACGUUGGCGGCGCGCUUAACACAUGCAAGUCGAACGCGAAAUGUCUUCGGACAGAGUAGAGUGGCGCACGGGUGAGUAACACGUGAGUAACCUACCCUUCGGGCUGGGAUAACAUGCCGAAAGGCGUGCUAAUACCGGAUGAGACCACGGCCCCUGCGGGGGCAGUGAGAAAAGGAUGGGGAUCCGAAAGGACCUGUCACCGAAGGAUGGGCUCGCGGCCUAUCAGCUUGUUGGUGAGGUAAUGGCUCACCAAGGCUAAGACGGGUAGCUGG
rnacentral:rRNA from 1 species